rnacentral:rRNA from 1 species
AGCGAACGCUGGCGGCAGGCCUAACACAUGCAAGUCGAGCGCCGUAGCAAUACGGAGCGGCAGACGGGAGAGUAACACGUGGGAACGUGCCCUUCAGUUCGGAACAACCCAGGGAAACUUGGGCUAAUACCGGAUACGCCCUUACGGGGAAAGAUUUAUCGCUGAAGGAUCGGCCCGCGUCUGAUUAGCUUGUUGGUGAGGUAACGGCUCACCAAGGCUACGAUCAGUAGCUGGUCUGAGAGGAUGAUCAGCCUCACUGGGACUGAGACACGGCCCAGACUCCUACGGGAGGCAGCAGUGGGGAAUAUUGGACAAUGGGCGCAAGCCUGAUCCAGCCAUGCCGCGUGAGUGAUGAAGGCCUUAGGGUUGUAAAGCUCUUUCGGCGGGGAAGAUAAUGACGGUACCCGCAGAAGAAGCCCCGGCUAACUUCGUGCCAGCAGCCGCGGUAAUAC